CGUAAAAAUAGGAAAGGAAGGAAAGCCUAAAUCUCCGCUCGCAAUCUCAUCCACCAGCCACGCUCCCCAGGCUCCAUCCUGCCCACCUCGCUCCUCAUGGCCCUGGCAGCCGCCAGGGUCCGUGCCCCCCCGGCCUCACCCCCACCCACCUCAUUCCUCACGCUCGCGGUGGCCGCGCACAAUCUGUGGAGACCGCGGAGCUCCAACGCUCUGCAUAGAGCCGUGGACAUGACUGACGCAGUGACGCUAGCGCUUGAGCCCCCUCCCUCCAAGCAACAGCACUCGGCCCCUCCCGGCUGCCGCCGGCACUCAAGGCACAGCAAGGCGAUGUGAAAGAGAUGGAUCUGUUCGGCCUGAUAAGGACAUGUGUGGAUGAUGCAUAGGAUGAUGAGUGCAAUGGAGGUGGCCUAAAGGAGAGAGGAAGACGUGAGGGGCAGGUCACAGGUGCGAUUCUCGAUCUUGCCGACUUCUGGAGGAGCGCUGAUCUUGGAGUUGUUCUGCAGAAGUAUCAAUAUUCAUUGUGCAGCAGCUCAUAAAGAGUGUCAUGUUGUAGCUGAAGCCUACUCGAUCUACUGCCUCGGUUUGAAAGCCUGGAAUUUAUGUGCGAGCAACGCAUAUCCAAUGAAUCAAAAAGUACAGAAAAUAGAAGGUAUGACAACUAAUAGUGUACAUUUCCAUCAAUUUAGGUUCUGAAUUAAGUUUGGAUCCAAAGGGACAUUAUCAAUUUCCCAGUCGAAAUUCAGAUACUUCAGCUAAUUGCUUCUGCAAGCCCUACACUGUAUGGUGUUGCCUGGUAGGACAAAACCAAGUUCAUUCGUAUGAGUAUCUUGCAGUUCCCUGUGGCUUCCUUUUUUUACAGUCUUUUUCAAUAGAGGGUACACUGUUAAUUUUGUUGUUGUUCUUUGUUGCCGGUGCCGGACAUUGUCGAUUCUGCACAUGUCCCUAUUACAUGUUCUGCACAUUUGCAUUUGAGGUGUAUGUGUUUGUGAUGUAAUGCUGCUGCAAAAAAAUAAGGCAGGAAAGGAAAAGAAUGGUGACUAUUCACAUGUUGAAAGAGACUAGAUAUACUACUUUUGUAGGAAUAGCUGUAAGGAAAACAGGGAGGCCUAAAACUCAUAACAAAAAUUGAUGCUAAUUAUUGGAUAAGGCAGUGCGGAUAUGGUGUUGGAUUGUUAAGCUAUUUAUUGGAGAUAACAUGGACCAAUCAACUUGGGGAACGCAGGCAAAAUCCAUCUAUGUUUUCACUUCUUUUGCAAUAAAGUGAUUUGCUCAUUCUGCUUUGUUAAAUGAUCUCUGUAACUUAUGAAUAGCCUGUUUAGUUGUCUGUUGGUUUAUUGGGGUAAUAUAGCUGAAAAAACUUGUGUUUUGUUGUGGACUGUUUGCUAUAAAAUAUUACCAUUAUUUUGUUUGAGAUUGGACCAGGUAAAUAUACCAAUUAAGCAACAGCUUCAUCAAUUGGAAUGCCCCAUCUCCCCUCCUCAAAUCUUGGCUAUGAUUAGGAAAUGGCUGCUGAUGCACUUAAUGUUGAUGACAGUCCCUACCACAAGAGUUCAAUGUCUCCAAGCAGACCACUUCUCAGCAAUCAUUUCUAAGUGUUGGCCAGAGAUGGAAGCUGCAACGAACUUGACCAGACAGACUGAAGCUUCGCCCCCUGCCCUUGUGGGUUUCACGUGUGCCUCUUCUGUCACAACAACAGGGUCAAGCUACAAGAUGGAUGCUGCUCAGGUCGCAGGAAGCAAUAUAACAUAGUUUUUGCAUCAUUGUGGCCAUGGCGUAAAAGCAACCAUUGGUACUGGACGAGAGAUGAAAAAUAUUAGAGGAUCAUAUCUCCAUUGCAAUCUAAACUGCUUAAGUAUUAAUGGUAGACUUUUCAUCAUUGGCUUCAAAGGAGGCGUUUAGCUAAAGUGAAUUGCAAGUUGGGCUUACAAUAUGUUUGACCAUUUUGUUUUGGUUGCCUAUGUCUAAACUCGAAUGGAUACCAUAAUGCAUGCAAAGUGUUUUUCCAUA